GACGGGUUUCGGCCUAUGUAUAAUGAUCUACAUUUGUGCUCUGAUAUUAUCCGUGACUGUUGAAUUACCGAUGACAUACUUUCAAUCAUUUAUUACUUUCAGUCCAAAACUAAAGAGUGCACAGACGUGAAGGGAAGAGUCAAAUUUACAGAAGAAGUGUUUGCAAAAAAGUUUGCAAACAUAUUUUUUUUCCUUACCAACGAGCAUCUUGUAUAUGUAUAUGUAUAUAGGCAAAGUAAAUUUAGUUAUUAAUAACGCAGCGACCGAAAAGGAAAGAGAAAAUUGAUCUACAAAUAACUACAGACCAUUAUAUGAUGAGAAAGAAUCCUUGCUGCGCUAUGAGUGAACCGAUGAAUGUAUUCUAGCCGGUGCUGGUGUGGUCACCGAUCGGGUUGCUCGACUCGACUGGCUUGUUCGUAGGGACCUACAUCGAGCUGUUUCUCCAGUUCUUUCUUGAACGCUGAAAGUUCUCUUGUUCGCUGAUAAACGGGGAUGCUUUAGAAGUAAACGAUAGUCAUAAAUAAACAAAUAAGAAAUCAUCAAUAAUAAUGGAGAGUACUACAAAUACGUCUCGAUGCCAGACAUAUGUAAUCGCAUUUAUUUGUAAGGAUUUAUGCAUUCCUUUUACGCAAAAUCUCGCAAAUCGGAUAGGUGUAAAAUAUCGACGGUUUUGAAAUCUCGGGUUAUCAUAAUAUUACGAUCCUAUUACUAUGUAACAUCUUCGAAUACAUUAAACAAGUACUUAAAUCCUUCUUUUUGCACCGUUUCUUUCCUGAUUUCAAUAAAUGCUUCUUUUUCUAUCGUUGCAAUAACUCUGGUUGGUUGCGUCAAAAGCCGGGCUCUCCUGGAGUUAUAUCGAGUGACGAUGGGAGGGGACUCAUUCGACAGGGUUCAUCGAGGGCAACAAACGUCCUAAUAGGAGGUAUGACCUCAGAGGUCGGGAACAUGGUGAAACUUCAACCUAACCUAACCUAAUCUAACCUGAUCCUCAUCAGAAGCGAUCGCUCCUCUCCCCUGUUCUUCCUUUCCUCCUUCUCCUGAUGAUGACGAUCAUGUCAUCCUCUUUCGCAUCAUUUCUUAAUCGGAGGAACGAGAGCGGAUGAUCCCGUUCGGAUCAGAGGGUGGCUGCUGCUUCACUCCUCUCCAUUCCUCCUCCAGGCCAUCAUCAUCCUUGCCAUGCUUUUGGCUUCAUGAGAGUCUCCUCUCCUUGACAAGGAUUUUAGGCAAGUCACCACUUGCUUUUCUCUUCUCUCCAUCGCCAUCUCCAUCCAUCAUCGUCAUCAUCUUAUGGUAUCAUUUUGACCAUGUUCCCGGGUUCGGAGGGCGGACAUCUAGGGAUCAUAAGACUUCCCUCUCCAUGCCCUGUCGAAUGAGCCCCCCACAUCGUCACCCGACAUGUCUCCUGGAAACCCAAAAGCAGUACAGUGUAAUAUGAAAAAAAAAAAAUUAUCGUAAACUUGUACUUUAAUUAACGAUCAUGAUGAGGUGUUCUGGUGUGUCUUUAAAGACGACGACGACAACGACGACGAUGUAAGUCACAAAGGCGAUGUUCUCAAUUGGGUAACUUCAUUCUGAAACCCAGGUGUUUUCCAUUUCAAGUUCAACUUAUUGUUAGACUACUAUCCAUAUGUUAAUCACAAAACUAGUGAUUGCAUCAAGUUCAGAGUUAACUAAGAAGCAUUAAAUAAUUUACUGGAUACAAUGAAGUACAAGAGGAUCAAGAUCAUUCUGGUAGCAUGCAUAUGCGUGUCGAUUAAUGCACUCAAACCAGAGCCAGAAGCGUUGAUGGGAAACUUGCCUGGACUAAAUUCGACCAGAUGUCGAAGAAAAAUGCAGGUAUUCCGGGACGCGGUAGACCAUGGUGUACUUUGGAGUUUGAAAAUGUUGGACGCGAGCGGAGAACCAACAUCAGGAUACAUUUCAGGAAACAACUAUUGAAUGGGAAGUAGACAAGAAUGCAAGUUCCUUAGCCAGAAGAGACGAUUUCCAUUGUUAGAGAAGAAGAUUCGAAAUAAUUCAAUCUACCGCAAUCCAGCUGAAAAGUUUUCACCUUUCGAGCUCAACUUCUUUGGUGCUCAUCUCACAGUCAGAAUGGCACUGUGCAGUAUUAUACGAGGGUUCCUAUUGAAGAGAUAAUAGUGCUCGGAUUUUGUCUAUCAGCAUCCUGCAGCGAAAACGAAGUGGGUACAAUGCUAAAGAAGCUAUUCGACGAUAGACUUCUUCUAGUUGGACAACUCUAUUCGCCAGACUUCGAGUUGAUGAAAAUCUCUAAUCUGAAGGACGAUCAUACGUGGCUUCUCAGUGGAAAAAUUAUUACGAUUUUGUACGUGAAUGCGAUUACAGAUUAAAAGAUUCCAAAUUUAAAUGAUUAAAUGCCGAUCGAAUGUAAUUUCAAUAUUCAAUUUUCCCUGUUCGUAAAUUUAUUUUAACAGUAUUAUUCGGUACAACGAUAGUAGCUACGUUAUACGAUAUUCUCAUCUACCUGAAACGUCUACAGAAAAAAAUAAACGACGACACUAUCGGUAAGCGAUACGUAGUUUACUAGUAAUAAUAGAAUUCAAGAACGACACGGAGGAGAAAUCGGAAUAUAAUGAAGAGGAUGCUGUAUCAUCAGAACUGAAAGCAGAGAGUCGAAUUGUAAAAAUCCUUAUGAUUCUCAGCUUAUUCGAACAUGAAACUGUUGGUAGCACUAGUAAUUUCGUACAGGGUUGGUGAUAUUGAGGAGAAGACGGAGAGGGGUGAAUAGAGACGAAUGCAAAAAGGCAAGCAUGGAACAAGUCACAAGUAAAAAGUAAAAUCAUUGAAACUGAGAAGACUGAUUGGUUAAUUUUUUUUAUAUCGUAAUAAUUUAAGUUAUGUACAGUUUAUUUUUUUCUUUUCUAAAUAUAUAUAUGUAUAUAUAUAUAUAUUCGUGUAAAACAUAAAAAAUGUAUUAAUUAUAACCCAUAACCGAACACGUGCAAACAACAGAAACAUAUAAAUAUACAAAUUAGAAAAUAAUUCAAAAGAUUUGAGAGCGUUUCAUGAACGUGUUGGAAUGAAGGUAACAAGGCAGAAAUUUAUAUAAUAACCAGCAAUAUUGAAUCGCAAAUCUUAGUCAAUGCUACACUGUCCGUGGAUACAUUUUCUUUCUCAGUGGUUUCCUCAUGGUGUUUGGAUAUCUGAAAUUACAAAGAAACGAAAAUAAUGUUUCAUUUAGCAGGAAUGUAAUGACUUUCAUUAGUGCAAUCUUCAAAACAUACAUCAGGUUUACAUCAACAUACUUGAUUGGAAUAUUGUUCGUCAUCAUAAACUUUGCUUGACUUGAGAAAUUUUCGUUGAUGUACAUAUUUCCAUGAACCGAUGCACGAAGUAUGCUCAAAAUACUGGUGGAGAAAUAUAUUCUACAUCAAUAAUCUCUUCGAAUGAAAUAAUAUGUGCCUGACAUGGAGCUGGUACAUCGCCGAUAACAUGCAGUUCUUUGUUUUUGGUAUCUUUGUAUUGAUUUUAUCAAGCAGCUACUACUACACUGCCCUAAGCUUAAGCAUUGCUACUAUAUUUUUAUCCAUGUUGGUGCACGCUUAUAUAACAUACGACACAGGAUACAUUCCUACGUGAGUGUAAAAAAUAUUUGUUUAUUUAUUGUAUAUUAGUUAAAUAUGGAGAAUCUAAACGCGGUACACUUUAUAAAUUCGAUAUGCAAUUUGAAAUGACUGCUUCCAUGUACAUGCGACCACGGAUGAGAAUCUCACCGUACAUAGUAGGGAUGGGCAUAUCGGUGUUUCUUGCAAAAUGCAAUUAUAAGUUACAUCUGUCAAGGGUACCUAAUUACCGAUCCUUUUUUUUUUUCAAUAUUACAAUAAUUUUAAAGUUUUCAAUUUUUGCAAAAACACCUUACUCACUGGUGUUGCUAUACAUAUAAGAACAGCUAUUGAACUACGUCGAAUUUUUUCAUUAUAUUGAUUUUUGCACAAAUGGCGUAUGUUUUAAGAGAAAAUGUAAAAUUUCCAGAAAAAAUCCCCAGAAAAUUAUUUAUAACAAAAGAACUAUUCAAUAUAAUGAAAAAAUUCAACGUAGUUCGAUAGAGAAUUCAGUUUUGAAUAUACUGUUAAAUUUUCAAAUCGAUUGGUGAUGAUCUAUUUGAUUUAUGAGUCUGGCCAGUUUGAAAAAUGCGUUUAAGUCUUCAGUAAUAGGCGCAGCAGACCGGGCGGGGCUGCGCCAAAAUUCGAAAUUCGAGUACUUAGAGAUUUUCCCCGCCCAUAAUCUUUUGCCAUAUCAUUUUUAAGACAUUAAGGCACCUUUUAAGCAAAAAAAAAACAAAUUUCGAUUUUUUCAAAAUUCUAGAGUGGCCUAAUCCCUUAACGUAGCAUUCAAUUCAAACGUUUAUUAAUU